AAAAAAAAAAGAAGACAAAGACAACUGUCACUGUCAUUUAUUGGACACAUUUUCGCAUUAAAGUUCUGCGUGCAUGGUGCAAAUACAUUAAGUCGGCCAGGGAUUAAUCAAUUAAAACAUGUGCAUGCGCAGCCACGUCUAGAAUGACCUGGCAGUGGUUCAAUUAAUGAGGAAAAGUGUUGCAAUCUGUUCAUGGGGGCUAAGACAGGUGCAGAAUAGACCUUUGUCCCUCCGCACCUCAAGGGGCCCACGCGGCGCCGGAACGUAGCGUCAUCGCCAAUGACACGCGUCGCGUAUAACCCAAUGAUUUCGCAACUUCCAGAACAUUUUCACCACCCCCUAUUUCCCUCGAUACCCUUUCGUCCCAUCCCUACCCGUUUCUACCGUAGUCUGCGGCAGGAUUCCCAAGCCGCGCCCGUCAGGCCAGCCCUACGCAGUACUUCGCAAAUCUGAACUAUGCCCUACGGACUAAAGUGAAGUGCGACCGAGUGACUACAGGACCACAUGUGGCUGAAGGGAUACGGGUUCGACAUCGCUUGGCACAAGCCCGGCUAGAUACAGAAAACUCUUUGUGCUCCGGAAUGAAACGGCGGUUCAUUGGAAUGUGACGGGCGAGCAGUGAGCGGCAUGCGAGGCGAGCGCUCUAGGCGGGCCGCGGCCUCGCUCGCCGCGCUCG